rnacentral:lncRNA from 1 species
CUCCAAGUUGCAAUUCCGAUAUUUGCUGUCAUUGUUUUAUCACCUGAUAUGACAUGAUAGUUGUUGUUACAUUAUAUUAUUCACAAAAUCUUUUUUACUUUAUAAGACUUUCCUAUAUUAUAAUCUUAGAAAGCAGUGUAAUAGGGUAAUAGCAAAUUUGUGAUAGUAAUCAUAGUCCGGAGAGCUUGAAUGUAAUAAUUUGAGUGUUGUAAUAUUAAUAAAAAAAAAAUUAUAAAUGUUUGAGAAGGUAUGUUUUCCAUGAUUUUUUUUUUAUUUUUUGCUUUUUCACAUUCGAAUAUGUCCAUCAAUCAUAAGAUAGAUAAAAAAACCAGGACUCAAGAGAUGUGACGUGGCUGCACGUCAUUGGUCGUACACCACUCCUGGGUAACAGACAAGGCUGUCGCUGUCCAGUUAUUAUUACCCUCCGUACCAUGGAGAAGCAAUUUAGACAUCUGUGCCGACUGCUAACCUACACGAGUAGGCGCGUUUUCCGUACCGCGGCCGCCGGCCCCACUUUCAUAUCAUGUGUGGCGGCGCACUACGCGGUUAAUUUUUAGCCGCAUGCGGCAGGACCCACCCGAUUGAAAAAUCAUGAUCAAGUGGUCAAUGGGCAGAGUCCAUCAUGGUCAACGUCAUCGACAGCUGUGGUUCAUGAAUCUCCUUUGCUGUUAUACAUUUUUUGCUUUAAAAAUAUCCUUGUCAAAGGCGUAGCAUAAGAUUAUUUUUCUCUCUAAAAAAUAAAAUUAUAACUCACUUGGAUCUACCUAACAAACUUCAAC